UCCUCGUAAAAUCAAUGUUAAUGUUGAAAAACACGAAAAUGCGGACCUGUAUAAUCAACUUUAAAUUGAAAUUGAGCAGUCAAAAAUUCAUUUUAGACGAUUUUUGACCACGCCAUGUGAAAGAGGAGACCUUCAACCACCAGAAUCACCAAACAGAACUUGCAAAAUGAAUAAAAUGGUUCUUGGCAAUAAGCACCUUUUUCUCAUGUCCUCGUAGAUAAUAAUUAGGCUAUGCACUCAUUUGAAAAUUGAGUCAAAUGAGAAAUUGUAUAAACAGCAAUCUCACGUCCCUGCUCAAACUUUGCCAGUAGACUCCCCACACCUUGUAGAUUCAUAUAGCACCUCAUCGCAAAGUCACGUCCUAAAAAGGUUACGAGUUUGCCAAAACGUUAUGAGUUUGCUGGUUAAUCUAGAAAAAGGUUACGAGAUUGCCCCCUAGAAUAUGUAUAUAUAUACACAUGAAAAGUGGUAUUACGCAGCCCAUACUAGAUAAACCUCAGACUUUUUGCGGCCCAUCAGGACUUUUUGCAGCCCAGUACCGGGCUGCAAAAAGUCUAUUCUGUUUUCGACCGCUACAGACAUUCAAAAACAAGCCAACGCAGUGUGUACAUAAGGCAAAACAUCACUAAAGACCUGCAUUAUCCGAUUUUAUCAACUUGGCGUUACAUACACGAGCGAAUCGAGUUCCUCACCUCUCUGAAAGUCAAUGAAAACAUUUUUUUGGUGGCGGAAAAAGUCUGGGGAAUAUCUAAAAAACAUACACUUGAGUGGGGAGCUCUCCUCAAAAAUCGAAAAUCGAAUUACAAGCCCAAAUGUAAGUCUUUUUCCAACCUGGUGGAGUAUAUACCUUCUUCUCAUGGCCCAGCAGUAAGCUGCUGUGAGAACACGUGGAAAAAUUCAAGCGCGCCCCUGCUAGUGCCAACACAAGUCGGUCCGCAAAAAGUCAGUGAAAUAUCAUGGGCUGCGUAAUGUAUUGGGGAAAUCUAUAUAUAUGGACCUAAGUAUCCUCGACGUCACCGUACAUAAACAGUACCUUUUGGUCACCAGGCUUUUAAAUGCCUCCGGAGGUGUAUUUACUUCAUAUUCGUAACCAGCACAGUUGUAAUAGUGCUUAUACUCUUUUCCCCACUUGAUUUACAUGCUUUAAGCUUAUACAAAAAAAAUUUACGAGAAUGGUACCAAUUUGCCUCCGAUUAUAAACUGAUCUUUUCCGUGACCUUGUGUAUUUAAAAAGAUAUUGACUAUACCAAAUUGUCACCUGCUGCCUUGCCUAAUAGAUUGCAACUGCGCUGGCUACGAAUACGAAAAUAUAACACAACUGGAAGCAUUUAAAAAGCGGUGACCAAAAGGUACUGUUUAUAUACGGUGACGUCGAGGGUAUGUCGGUGUUGAUGGAACAAAAUUUUUAAAAUCUGUAUACAGUAGGUGUAUACAUGACCUUUUCGUCACCGGACAAACUUUUGCCCUUUUACGUUUCAGGGGAAAACAAACCGUUUGGACUUGUUAUACACAGGGCAACGUCUUCGUCACCGGCAAAACGCCUCCGUCACCGAUUUCGGUGACGAAGAGAACGCGUGAGUAUAUAAAAGGUGACGUAGAGGUACCGUUUGCAUAUCUAUAUAUAUAUAUAGCCGCAUACAGGCAAACUCAUAACGUUUUGUAUAAACAGCAAUCUCAAGACCCCUCUAUAACUUCGUUGCUGUGCAUACGCUCGACGCGUCACCCCAUAGGCCUGAUAGUACUCGAUGUUAGGCCGCGUUAUAUUCGUUGAUAAAAUAAUAUUGUGUCGUAGGUACCUACUAAAUAUACGUUCGUAUAUUUGAUACCUACUGACUAAUUACCUACUCGAAUAAGCAGGUAAUCGGAUACGGAGAAUGCACUGGUGUAAUCGUAAUAAAACUAAUUACUUACCUCGGCUAGGGCUUUUAGUACACUACCGAACACAAUACAAUAUCAUACGCAAAGUUCGUGUAAACGAAUGUAUUUGUCAAUAAAGACAACUUAAAACCGACUCGGAGCACUUCAAAGGGUUCAACACAACGAUUAUUCGGGGGGAAUUACAAAUUACGUUAACACUACUAAAUUAUUACUAAAUUAUAAAAUAUACAAAAACACUUUAAACCUAGGGCCGGAGCUCUAAAGAAUUAAGGACAUAUUAACUUGGCAACUCGCUUGCUUCACGAAAACGAACUACAAGUUGGUCCAGUUGCCAAAGAAGCUGGAAGGCUCAUUUGACACCUUGACCACUCAUUGUUACCAACCACAUCACCGAACGGUGCUGGAAGGGUUAAAUUACCUGUUUAUACACAUACGUGUUACCAUUAAGGCAUAUCCGUCUAACAUAUGCCCUCCGAGGUUUACUCAGCUAUGACUCAGCGAGCUAAGUUCCCAGCAGAGGAAAUCACGGUGUGAGACAUAGACAUGACUUAAUGAUAACACUGUCCGUACGGACCCUGCUGCCCCCCAUGAGUUUCUCGGAUGAGAAAUUGGUGAGCAGAGAAGAAAGAAGAAAAUUCUCAAAUUUGGAACCACAGCGCACCCUAGGUGUUGAAGCAGGCGCGUACGUGACCCACUGAGCCACCAGAGAUCGAUCACUCGAAAUACAAUGUACUCAACAAAUACACGUAACUACCUAGCUCUAGCCUAGGAUACACGACAUCGAAAAAGUUGCCAGUUAGCAAUAAUACGAUCCUUUUUUGUUUCAGAUAUCCGUCCAAAAAGGUGAGAAUAUGGAUCGAUUGAAGAUAAGCCGCCUGAGCUCUGAACGAUGAAGCGAAUAAGAGCUACGUACGUAGCUGCGAGUUCGAUGUCCAAGUCAACAUGUCCAAAACAGGUUUAUGGGUCAUUAACGCCUCCGAGCCGGUUUGUAUUUACGUUCGUAUUCAUUCUUACGAUUAAGUGCAACGUUUAGGAAGAAAAAAUGUGCAAAUUAUAGAAUAAGUUUGUACUUUUAUUCGAUGUAUAGGUUACAACAUGCAUUGUAAAUACUGAUUAUUGUUUAUUGAUAAAAUAAAGAAUAAAUACCCAAAAUAGUUUUGUAAAUUAUUACGAUACUCAGUCUUACUUCUUCAGACUUAUACAGUAAAGUAACGUUCGUUAAAUACAAAAAAAAAAAAAAAAAUUAUUAAGGAAAAAACAAUAAAAAUUAAAACAA